AAAAUAAAACAUUGUAAUUAUGCAUUGAUUUUACAAUAAAUGUAUGUGUAAGCAACAUGAGCAAUCCCCUGUCUGGCUUUUGCCGGCAUAAUGGCGCUCAGCUACAGAUGCUGCGAAGAUGAUUUCCCUCUUUUUCUGCUUGUCUAACCGUGCAUACCGAUUCCGGAGGAUUGACAAAGAACGAUCACAGACCUAGGUGUCCCUUGCCUGUUGCACAUACAUACAAUGGCCCAAGUGACAAAUUGUGGCAUAUGCUCAGUUGCACGUAUCCACUGGCUAGGGUUGCCAACCGUCCCGAAUUAAGCGGGACAGUCCCGACUUUUGAGUAAGUGAUGUCCCGUGUCCUUGACCCAGUCGGAACGAUCUAAUGUCCCGACUUUUUCUAAAUGGAUAACAAUAAAUAUGCCAGAUUUCUCUUUUAUAAUGCCUGACAAUUCGUUUGCACAGUCUCAAUUUUUUUUGUGUGUGUGUGUCUUGUUGCAUCGCCAUACACAAAAAGGCGGUUUCGUUUUUUCGUGGUUCUAGUUCUGCUGCAGGCCCUGACCAUUCACAGUACAAUCUCUAUCCGUAGCCGUAUUAGUCUAUAUACUGCACCUUGUAAAUCGUCACACGAUAGGACUAAAGAAUUGGGUCAGCUUUGUUUACCCAUACAGAUUGGCGGCUCCUGGCAGUGACAGAGUCGGCCGUGACAAGCCGGCCCCCUUCCCGACUUAGUCCACUCGAGAGCUUGCAACCCUACCAGUGGCCCAAGUUGCCUAUUCAGGUACCCGAUGGACACCUUUCCGAUGAAGGGCACUAAGUGGUGCUCGCAUAGCGAAAACAUCUCGAUGUCUUUGACGAUGACCAUCUCGUCGUGGUCCUCCAGGAACACGGCGUCGUUGACUACAUCUGCGAAUUGCACAUCUCGUCUGGGCCAAACAACCAUCCGCGGCGAUCCGGGCUCUGCUGGCCUGCAUGGUCACGCAGCGUGGCGCCGUCUCUCGAAGGAGGCAGCGCUUAACCCGCGCCGCGGAACUCACGGACCGCUGGUGUUGAAAACAGCACAGGCAACUCUGUUUCAGCGCCAAAAGGUGACAAUCAAGUGUAUGGUGCACUGUAUCCGCCUUUUGAACGUGGCUAUUGGAAAUGACAAAUUAAAGUUCACCGUAUACACAACAAGCUACAGCUUGAGUGACAUUGUGAACAAACAUUAGGAACAAAUGGGAAGCAAUCAUUUUUUGUAACUUAUUUGGGCAGUAGCUGGCGUAUGCAAUGUGGUCCUAUGCAAGGGUUUGGGGGCCAGAGACCGCAUUUUCUGAAAUUUUGACUGGUUACCCGGAUAGUCUCGUUUCCCUCUCGCAGCGAUGCCCGGAUGUUCUCGCAGGUUCUUGUUUCGUUCUCGUGCCCAUUCUCGUCUUGAGUGCCCGGAUAACGGCUCUUCAAGAGACUCAAUGUCUCUUGAAGGUCGCUGACAGCUGGAGCUAAAAGCAUUUCAUGCUUAAUAUGUAACAUCGCAGCACGUGUCGGCACUGUCGGGGCGCCGGAACCCUCGCAGGAUGCCGUUUCGUUGCGUUGUACGAUUCUGGCCAAUUGCUUGCAGUCAAUGAGCAUGCUUUUCAGACCAGGAACUAAGCCUUCGCAAUGCUCUGACACUGACAAAAUACGGGUACCGGGGUACUAUACAUCGCGAAGGAGGUAUGUAGCGUGAAAAGCGAUACCCGAAGACACUGACAGAUGAGUCCGCAUCUCCUUCUGGUUAUUCGUCAGGACUGUGUGGGAACGUACAGCUUUCUCGAACUGACAAAAAAAGCUUUGUCAAAAGGCCAAGCACAGCAUUGGAAGUGCAGCAAUAUCAAAUUCAACACAACAAAGGUCACGGCACAAGUUGCAGAACUUCGACAAAGGCGGCCCCUGUCUGUGAGCAGUAAAAAGAAAGCGCGUAAUUGUAUACCACACUAUAGCAGCCUCCUUCACGGUUGGUGAAUAUUGGCGGAAAGCACCAUCCUUUCAAAUCCAGAUUUCAAGUAUUCGCGAUCGUGCAAGAGUGCCUGCCGGCCGUUCGGGUUGCAAAGUCUCAUCUGUCAAUCCCGCCAGAAGAAAAAAAAAAAAAGGACAUGGUUAAAAAGUAUGUUGAAUUUACUACUCGAAUUUACGGCAAGAAUUUACCA